rnacentral:piRNA from 1 species
AGGUGUGAAAGGCCAAGGCAGACUUGUU